rnacentral:lncRNA from 1 species
CUGGUUGUCAUCUUUUCUGUCCACAGGGGUGUACAGGAGUUUUAUGUCCCUCUCAUGUUAGUGUCCCAUAGCAAAAAUGUAAAGAUGAUGUCAUUUCUGCUCUGUCAGCUUCAUCACAUGAAAGCCAAAACUGAAAAACAGCCAACUCCUGCUGUGGUUUAUGGGAAGUUGCUUGAGUAACAAUUUCAAUCAUUGAAAGUUUGUGGAGUUUUUUUGGGUUUUGGGUUUUGGUUGUUUUUUUUUUUUUUUUCCUCUAGAAAGAUUGUGUUGUAAUAUUAUUACUUCUGUUUUAAUUUUGAGGUGUGCAGUUGCAUGAUCUUCAGGAAAAAAUCUGAUCUACUUUUUUCUCUUUUGCUUCAUAUGGAGUGUAUGUGCAAAAUCCUUUGGGCCAGACCUCAGCUAGCAUAAAUUCCAAUUGUAAGUAUAAUUAUCAACAUGUGGCAAUAAAAAUAAAUUAUAAAAAUAACUCUGCCUCAGAGCAGUGAUGAAUUUUUGAGAAAUGGUAAUAAAAAAAGCAUCCUCUGGGCUUUUAAUUUUUAAGCAGAGAAGCAUGCUCACAUCAUAAACAAUGGGAUAGAAGACCUCAUUAAAAAUAAUUGUUUAUUUCAACUGGAGAAGUAGAUCCCUCCUUUCAGUUCAAGUAUUUAUACUCAAGAUUGUUUUCAAAUUGAAAAGAGAUUUUGAAAUAUUUGAAGCCACAGACAAAGUUUAUUUUUAAAACAUAUUUAAAAAUUGCACAGUUAUAAAUACAGGUAAAUAAAUACAAUUUAAUAUGUGGAAAAGAACCCAAGGAAGGCAUGCCUCCGUUAUAGUACAAAAAUACUACAUUAAAUGUGGCGCUCUGCAAAUAGUCAUCUAUGACCUUAAUAAAUUUAACACAUCCAAUAUGCACAUCGUUCCUUUUUGAGGAAAUAGAUUAUUUUAACCAGCAGUGCAAAAAACCAUCAAAUUAAAGCAUCAGUAAACUACAGGUCUGUGUUUAAUAUUAUACACAGCUGAUAAUGCACUAAGUAUAUAGAGGCAAAGUUACCUGUAGUAAGAAACUAAUCUUUUACUCCGUAUGUGCUUACACUCAGCUUCUCAAUCUGGGUCAAUAUGAACCUUGGUAACGGAAUGUAAACAUUCAGGUGUAGGGCUGA